AUAGGUAGUGGCCUACAGGCUCCCUGGGAGGAUUUUCUGGAUUUGUGCCAUGCAACUUUCUUUUCUUGAAAACAGGAAUUUCAUGAGUAGGACUCCAGCUACCAGAGAGAAAUCGAAAUGGUUAUUGAUCCUCACUGAGGGCUGUCUACAAUGGCAUCUACAAAGAUCAGUAAGACAAAGUCACUGCUUCCAAGAAAUCAGUGUCGUAGUAUUGGAGCUGUAGAACCAUCACCUGUUGUAACCAGAUUGGUGGCUAUGAACUACCUGCUUUUGAGAUCUGGCUAUGGUGGAAGAAUGAAUUCACAAUGGAGCUGCUAUGUUCCUCGAGACUCAACGCUAAACAAGAUUUAGAGCCAGCAUUUCCAUCUCAGAUGAGCUGUUUCCCAGCUUGAGUUGUUUUCUAUAAUAAACAAAAAGUUCCUUAUUUUGC